UGCUGGUCGUGCUGUGGCUGGGCUCGGGCGUCGAGCUCAGGCUAGGGCUGACGAUGCUGGCCAAGCGGGAACGCACGUCUGGGAAGUCCUCGUAGUCACCAAUGUCCAUGACCUUCCAGAGGAACACAGACAUUGUCUCAAUUCAACCACAGUGAAGACUUGUCUGGCUGAGGAUUUCAAAUUCCAUAAUGAUUUGGAGAUACGCUACUAGAAACUUUCAGUGAGGACAAAGAAAAGGAGAGAUGCUGACCGCCUCUCUGGGCCUGAGAGUGGGCUGGAGAAUACCGGAGUCCCUGAGGUCACCGGCGGAGGGGAGGAAGUGUACUUUGCUCAGCGGUUUCACCGUAGCUACCUAGCAUGGGGCUGGAUGGUCAAAAUUGAAUUCUGAUGCUGGUUCCAGAAGAUGGAGACAGUGCCAAGAAGGCAACUGCCCCAGGGCAGACCUUCGUUGCUCCAGGAGGGACUACUUCCCUAGACCUAUUGGUUAGGCAACUCUAAGGCAAGUAUCUACUAUUUUGGGGGACAAGAUUGACUUAUACCUGUGUCAGAUUCCCAGAGAAGAGCAUCCAAUUGCUAAGAGUGGAUCAGGCAUCCCCUCCUGGCCCAGGGUGACUGCUUUAAGCAGCUUUAAACUUCGUAAUUUAAGAAACUAUUAGCAACGUAUUGUAAAUGAUAAUAAACUGAGAGGAUUUUCAGUACUGAUAGGAACCCUAAUUUACUUUUCUAGAGGGGAGGGAAAAGGAAUUCUGAUUGUUGAGAUUGCGAAAGAGAGCGGGGCAUGCAUGGUUUAGCUUCCUCUUCUCUUUGGAAGCCAAUUGAGAGGCAGGAAGUUGAAGUGAAUCUUACAAAGUUUCUUAAAAUGUUCUUAAAAGUACUGAGACCACUGGGAGAGGUCCCCAAGACCCUUUCACCUCCUUUCAGCAAGUUCAAAAUAAUAUUUAUAAUAAUGCUAAGAUGUUAAAUUUGCCUGUUUCAUUGUGUUGAUGGUACAAAAACAAAGGUGAGUAAAACUGCUUGUGCCUUGCUGUGAACCAAGGCACAGCGAACUGGACUAGUUACUGUUUUCUUAACCGCCAUAUACUCAGGAAAAAAAGCAAAACACCAGAGUUUUAUUGAGGAAUAUCCUUGAUGAACACUGUUAAUUUUAUUCCACUGCUGAAUGUCUUUCUUCUGCAUCAUAGAACACAGCAAUUGUUCAGAGGAAAAAUGCACUAGUGCUGUUGUGUGACUUGGGAGCUGAACUAGAUUUUCCCUUUAGGCACCAUUUUACUUGAAAGAAUGAUUGACCAACAAACCAUGAUUAUUCAAAUUUGGGCAUUUGCCUGACUUUUUCUUUAACAAAGUGACUGUCACUUCAAGGUAAACAACUGACAGUAUCUGUUGCUAAAAAUAAAAUUUGUGCUUACAAGGAAAUAUUCCAAUUUUACAAAACUUAUAUCCACCACCGUAGGCUUGACAGCUUUCCAAUACUUAAAGAUGUUCCUGAGGAUAUUGGUGGUGAUAUUAAUGAAUGCAGUUUUUGCAUACUCUAUAAUGAAAAUGAAAUAUGG